rfam:Candidatus Glassbacteria bacterium RIFCSPLOWO2_12_FTLL_58_11 rifcsplowo2_12_scaffold_5035, whole genome shotgun sequence.
GGAGUGCGACAGGCGGCCGCGGCCCGAUCUGUUUGCGGGCCGAGGAAAGUCCGGACUCCACAGAGCAGGAUGCUGGAUAACAUCCAGGCAGGGCGACCUGAUGGAAAGUGCCACAGAAAACAUACCGCCGGUCCUCGGGCCGGUAAGGGUGAAAAGGCGCGGUAAGAGCGCACCGCCCGUCCGGUGACGGACGGGGCAGGGCAAACCCCAUCCGGAGCAAAACCAAAUAGGGGAGGAGAGGUGGCUCGCCUCGUUUGACUCCCGGGUAGGUUGCAGCCAGAGCGGCUGGAGUAAUCCUCCGCCCAGAUGAAUGGCCGCCGCCGCGGAUCCCUCGGGCCCCGCGGUACAGAAUCCGGCUUAUGUCGCACUCCGCUG